rnacentral:lncRNA from 1 species
GAUGCCGCAUCGACCUUCCGCACCUCCCUACCACGCCAAAUGCUUCCGUCGCCGGGGUGAAACGAAAGCGGCAGGGCAACCAUGCCGUGCAUGGAGUCAGGCCCCUUCUGACUGCGGGCGCCAUUCUUCCUCCCGCGUACAGCGGUGCUGUCUCACGGGCCGGCUCGAGGAUGGGUGCCUCCUCCACCCCCUCCAUCGAAUGGGCGAAAUCACAAGACAAGGGCUCGAGGAAGGGCAAGGCUCCGGCGGCUUGACGACGGAUGCCUCCUCCACCCAAUCUGGCGGCCCAUGUACCCCGCAUUCCCUUAAACUCCACAUGCGUCCACAAUAUGUUUGAGCAAACACCGAAGAGGUAAAAUUUCUCCCCUUUCUACCGGUGUGUGCCAAAUUGGGUUCAUUUGAUGUGUGUUUCACCCUUUGGAUUGUGUAUCUACGACUUGCAUACCUUUCAUGCAUCAUAUGCAGAUUGUUGGAGGAGAACGAGGUGAACAUCAUGAAUGCUCCACUUGGCACAUUCGAUUCUGCCAUGGAAGCCAACGUCAAAGCCGAGGUGGAAGAGGAGGAUGACGAAAAUAAUGAUGUAGAAGAGGUUGAGGAGAAGGGGUUCGAUGCUACCCAAGGAAGAUUUGGAAAAUGAAGCAACAAUUACAUAGAGAUGGAUGAUUUUUGUUUGGUGAGAUUUUGUAAGUGUGUGUCACUUGAUGAAGUUGCCACCGGUGUUCAACCGGCAAAAAAUAUUGGCAAUUCAUUGAGGACAAGUAUCAUAAGCUCAUGGACGUCACAUCUUCAUGUUCAUUGAAAUCACUCGAAGGCCAUUGGGAUGUGAAAAAAACAAUGUGCCCGUUGGAGUGGUUGCUUGGAGCAAGUGUGGAAUGCAUGGUUUGUGAUUGAUGACUAUGUGAGUUUGUUGUCAUUUUGUUGUACACAUUUGUGAUCUUAUUUGCUUUGAUGACAAGUUGAACUCA